ACAAGUCUUUUGACGCGGGCGGCAACAGCUUUUGUGUCUGCUGUUACGACCCCCGUAGUACAAAGAGCACAAAAGGAGUUUGCCUGAUUGAAAAGAGUGCAAGCACCGCCUCAAAUCAAUUGGAGUCGCUGCAGUUGGUUGCCUGCCGCCGCCGCUAUAUACAGUCAUCCCGACCGAUGAUGGAUCAUCUUUUCUUUCAAACGUACAGAGAGACAAGAGACGCGAGCCCCAAAUCCGUUUCGGUGGCUAUUAUUACAUACAAUAUGUAGACAGUACGAGGCGUUUAAACUGCGUGACGAGUUUGCCGCCUACAAUAAACGCCGACGUCGCCGCCGCCGCCGCCGCCAGCACCAACAUUUCAAUGUUCCCACAAUAUAAUGCGUUACAUUCCA